rnacentral:rRNA from 1 species
UGGGGAAUUUUGGACAAUGGGCGAAAGCCUGAUCCAGCAAUGCCGCGUGUGUGAAGAAGGCCUUCGGGUUGUAAAGCACUUUUGUCCGGAAAGAAAUCCUUGGCUCUAAUACAGUCGGGGGAUGACGGUACCGGAAGAAUAAGCACCGGCUAACUACGUGCCAGCAGCCGCGGUAAUACGUAGGGUGCAAGCGUUAAUCGGAAUUACUGGGCGUAAAGCGUGCGCAGGCGGUUUGCUAAGACCGAUGUGAAAUCCCCGGGCUCAACCUGGGAACUGCAUUGGUGACUGGCAGGCUAGAGUAUGGCAGAGGGGGGUAGAAUUCCACGUGUAGCAGUGAAAUGCGUAGAGAUGUGGAGGAAUACCGAUGGCGAAGGCAGCCCCCUGGGCCAAUACUGACGCUCAUGCACGAAAGCGUGGGGAGCAAACAGGAUUAGAUACCCUGGUAGUCCACGCCCUAAACGAUGUCAACUAGUUGUUGGGGAUUCAUUCCUUAGUAACGUAGCUAACGCGUGAAGUUGACCGCCUGGGGAGUACGGUCGCAAGAUUAAAACUAAAUGAAUUGACGGGGUCAUAGCUGUUUCCU